UACGAAGGGGGCUAGCGUUGUUCGGAAUCACUGGGCGUAAAGCGCGCGUAGGCGGGUCGUUAAGUCAGGGGUGAAAUCCCGAGGCUCAACCUCGGAAUUGCCUUUGAUACUGGCGACCUGGAGUCCGGGAGAGGUGAGUGGAACUCCUAGUGUAGAGGUGAAAUUCGUAGAUAUUAGGAAGAACACCCGUGGCGAAGGCGGCCAUCUGGACCAGUACUGACGCUGAGGCACGAAAGCGUGGGGAGCAAACAGG
rnacentral:rRNA from 1 species